AUUGAACGCUGGCGGCAUGCCUUACACAUGCAAGUCGAACGGUAACAGGUCUUCGGAUGCUGACGAGUGGCGAACGGGUGAGUAAUGCAUCGGAACGUGCCCAGUUGUGGGGGAUAACUGCUCGAAAGAGCAGCUAAUACCGCAUACGACCUGAGGGUGAAAGCGGGGGAUCGCAAGACCUCGCGCAAUUGUAGCGGCCGAUGUCAGAUUAGGUAGUUGGUGGGGUAAAGGCCUACCAAGCCGACGAUCUGUAGUUGGUCUGAGAGGACGACCUGCCACACUGGGACUGAAACACGGACCAGACUCCUACGGGAGGCAGCAGUGGGGAAUUUUGGACAAUGGGCGCAAGCCUGAUCCAGCAAUGCCGCGUGCAGGAAGAAGGCCUUCGGGUUGUAAACUGCUUUUGUCAGGGAAGAAAUCCUCUGGGUUAAUACCCCGGGGGGAUGACGGUACCUGAAGAAUAAGCACCGGCUAACUACGUGCCAGCAGCCGCCGCGGUAA
rnacentral:rRNA from 1 species